rnacentral:lncRNA from 1 species
GUUGGACAUAAAUUUGGUAUUUAUCAAUUAAAUAUAAUUGGUGGGUCCAACAGUUAUUUUGAAGGUUAUAUUGUCAAAAUAAAACUUUCAAAGGUGGUGUCGAGGUCUAACUAUAUCGAAGCAAAGAAGCGUUUCGAGAGCUUUGGAAGGCAUAUUCAGUUUUGGUUUUGUCAGGAGGCUGUCGAGAGUACAAAAUCGAAUCGAAGGAUAGUUGGGCCAGGCCCAAAAAAGAAACAACAACGGCCCAAGAGGCAUUGGCGCGCACUGAAGGAAUGAAAGAUGAAGGUGGAGAACGUGGGUCGACGUGGCAGAUCGAAGAGCGUCCAGAUGAUCAAGAAGCAGUUACCACUUUAUUGUAGUAUUUAUAGUAGUUUUUCAUUCAGAACAAGGGUCACAAAAUUUUAUACAAACACUCUCUCUAAAAUUCUAAGUACUCAGCGAUCGAACGAAAGGAAUUCAGAGGAGAAAUGUAUGUUUUGUGAACCAUCUUUAUUUGUAAUUGCUUUUCAUUCAAUGCAAUUUACUUUCCAGCAAUUUUCUUUAGUUUAAUUCGAAAUACUUGCCUGAGAAACUGCUACUUCGAGGCGAUUCGAACUAGUUUCUCUUGUAUUAAUUGAAAACAUUUCAAUCUCUAAGUGUUUGUUUCCUUGUUAAAAACGAACAUUCAACAUUUCUCUUAAAUAAAUAUAACACAAAAUUGUCCUGAGAUUUACUAGUUGGUCUCGCGAGUUUAAAUACUUAAACUAGCG